AGGUCUUCGUCGUGCUCUCCCUCGCGGCCGCUGUCUUCGCUCUGCCCGACACUGGUUAUCCUAGCCAUGAGGAACCAGCCAAGUACUCGUUCAACUACGAAGUGAAAGACGAGCCAUCUGGCAACGACUUCGGCCACCAGGAGGCUCGAGACGGCGCCCACACUCAGGGCGACUACUUCGUCAAGCUUCCCGACGGCCGCCUGCAGCAGGUUGCUUACACCGUGGACGGCGACUCCGGCUUCGUGGCCGAGGUCAGCUACGAGGGAGAGGCUCAAUAUCCUCAACACCAGCCAACCGGAUAUGCCUAAAUAUUGCUGACUGGAAUUCAUUGACAGGGCAGUAUUUGUAAUAGAUAUACAUAACAUCAUCUAGGCCAUCGAUAUAGCUUCCCUCGCUACACAUCUAUAAAUAAAAUCAUCAAAUACCAGA